AUGUGUCAAGCUGUCUUGAUAUACUUUAAAAAAUGCAGUAGGAAAACCAGAAUGUAUUUUCUGCUCUGUCAUGAGGAAGAAACUUACCAAGCAGUUGGAGACGUCCCAUACAGAACGGCUGAUGGUAUUCCAAGUUAUGGCUUCAUCAGAACGAACUGAGACAAUCCAAACUCUCCAUGAAAAAGCAGUAGCAGUGUAGGUACUGGCUGGCCCCCUGAAGCCUCUGAAGUGCUUUACAGUAAGUUUUGCCUUCCCUGCUCCAAGCCCACAACAAGAGUUAUUUUGCAAACACAACAAUUAACAACAUGAAAUACAGGGAGUACUGGCAGUAGCAGCAAUGGGGAGUGCAGUCUGCCAGUCAUAUAUGGAAGUAACGGGAUGGAAAAUUGCAUCACUAGAAUUAAUGAAGUAAAUACAGUCCUCUCUAGACUACUACAUACAACUACUAAACUUUAUGGAAGGUUUAAAGCAUCAGUCCUUUAGGCAACAAAAGGGAGAAAAAACUGACCUUUAAUCUUCCAAAUACCAAGAACUGGGGUUAAAGAUAUUCUGUCAUAAAACCAACAGGUGUUCCUUCUUUUCCAUCAAAUUACUUUCUAGAUGUUUGGAAAGAAGCAGCACCCAUUAAAAACAGAGAGAAAUACUGGUGGCUGGCACAUGUAUUUCCCUGGAAUUUGAAAUCCAAAAAUUUGUGCUCCAGCCAGCACUGUGCCACUUGGUGCACAUUCAUGCACCAAGCACUCUACAGUUUCUAGGCUGUGCUAGCUUGCUCUUUUUGCAGGCCACACAGAAGCAAGUCUAAAAGAACCGAUCAGGACACCCUUUAGUAGUGCCUCAUGUACCAGAUGUAGCUAAUGGCAACAGCUGGCUGCUCUUAACAAGGUAUCUCUAUGAAAGGGUAGGACAAGAACUUUAGAUCUCCACAAGAAUGUUCAGUUUAUAACAGCUCCUCUUGAAUGUCAUCUUAGUAUGUUUUGUAUGUUGCAGAAAACUAAUUUUUGUAUUUCAAAGCCUGGUUUUCCCCCUGAAGUCAUUAGGGAGAAUCACUGUUAUACUGUCUCGGAGAGUGAUGUGCUGCAUGGGUGAGCUAUUCGUUUUUCCAAGUAUAUCUUCAGGAUGUCAGAUAUUCAGGUGUUCUUAGACUGAAGGGAUGCACUUA
rnacentral:lncRNA from 14 species